UUCCUUGUGUCUUUGCUUUGAUUGUUCUCGUUCAGGCACCUUAAUCAUGCAUCCAUUUGGCUACUCUCCCUAAACAUUUAUAACCUCUUGCUCAUUUUCUUUUGAAAUAUUCUCCUCACUUUAACCUUCUGUUUCUUAGAAGGCAGAAGCUGUCAUUGUGUUGUCUCUAGUUUACAUUUUAUAGCUGAAGAGUGUUUCCAAUUAUUUUUCUUAGUCUUUUUGGAGUUUCAUCCAUGCAUUGCUCUAUUUCUUUAAUUCUGAUGAAUGGUGUCCUUUUGUGUUUGAUAUUAUUUUCUUAAUGCCUUUGAUCUCAUUGUUGAAAAGGCCACAGUCCAGUGGGUGAGUUACAUUGAGCUCUGUGCAGUGCUCACAACUAUGACACCGGUUUCCUGGAAUUUCCUGCCUCUGUGCUUCUCCCCUUCUGUAACAGGAGCCUCCUCCCUGGUUUCCUCCACUGCACUCCAAUCCUCUCUUUGGAACCUGCAACUGAAUAUUGCUCCUAAAUGGGAAGACUGUCUUGCAAGGGGACAACUGCCACAAUAUUGCCAAAAUUUACCAGCCAAAGUGGCUCCUCUUCAAAAAAAAAAAAAAAAGUGAUGGUCUGAGACCCAUAGGGGCUUCGAGUAAACGUUUCCGAUGACAUUUACUUACAUAAUUUUGAGAUCAUACCACUUGACUGAGUUAAGAUUUGCAGAAUGAAUGGAGGAGCUGACGGAUGCAUAAAACUGCUAAUUCAAGAUCAAGCAGAACAGAAUUUAAUCACAUAGGACUGAAUGAACUGAUAAAGAAUGAUAAUGGAUUUUGUUUGAAACAUUACCGGCUCACCCAGGCGCAGUGGCUCACGCCUGUAAUCCCAGCACUUUGGGAGGCGAGGCAGGCCAGUCAUGAGGUCAGGAGUUCGAGACCAGCCUGACCAACAUGGUGAAACCCCGUCUCUACUAAAAAUACAAAAAUUAUUCAGGUGUGGUGGCGUGCACCUGUAAUCCCAACCACUCCAGAGACUGAGGCAGGAGAAUUGCUUGAACCCAGGAGGCGGAGGUUGCAGUGAACUGAGAUCGUGCCAUUGCACUCCAGCCUGGGCAACGGAGCGAGACACCAUCUCAAAACAAACAAACAAAAAACUCAUAAAAAAAGAAACAUUGCUGACUCUUUAAUGUAGUAUUUUCUGGGUGUAUGGAACUCCUUUCUCUUUUCUGUUCAGCUGUCUACAACUCAUAGACUAAAUUUUGUGAACAGAAAUAAACAUUUUAUCUUCUCCCUGCCUGAUUCCUUCAGAAUUUAGAAACUCUUAAGGGCAAUAAAAUUAUUUGCAUAAGUUCAAAAAGAAUCUGUUCUCUUUGCAACAGGACACAAUUAGAAAUAUUGGUUAUAUUACCAAGGCCUUGACUGGAAUGUCAUAUUUGGGAAUAAUGCAUAAAAUCAGACAUGACCAGACAAUUUUAAGGAAAUAAGAUAAACUUUAUGGAGCCAAUGCCUACAAAGACUUCUUGAGGAAACCAGCCUGGCACCUGGCUUAUAGGGUUUCCAGGCAUACAGGUGACUAAGGAAAAACCACUUCACGGCAUCCCCAGGAAACAGGAUAAUUUGGGGACCCGGAAAAAGAAGAAUUCAUUCACAUCUAUCGGUAUUGGAGGUGAUGGCUUAGCUUAUCUUCCUAGGCUUGGGUUUCUAGGCUCAAGAGUCUUUUAAAGGCUAAUUGGAGAUUCUGUAUUACAAGUUACAGAAAAGCUUGUCUAUGUGGUCAUCUCUUCUUGCUGCAGUCAUAUAAAUAAUCAGUUCAAAUCUAAUAAGAUUACUUAUGUUGUAAACAAGAAUAAAUUUACUUUGGUUAUUUUUUAUCAAUUAACUGGGAGGCAAUGACUAUAGAAACUUCACAUUUCCAUGGAGACUUUCCAAACUAAUGUUUGCAACUUUUCUCCUUCCCUCCUGACUUGGCUUAUCUGAGAACUAGAACUGCCCUUUUCCCCAAGCCCUGCAACCUGAAACUGCAUGACCUGAUAUAAGUUUCAAGAAAAUCACACAACAACUCAAGUGUGGACAACCUUCAUGCCUGCUGCUGUGUAGGCCACUCAGAAAGCUCCCCAGCACACUGCACAGUAUCUCCAAAGAUACUCAAGCUGCAAAUGGAAAGAACCAUUGGAUGACCUUGCUUUUCCUCACUCCAGCAUGUAAAGGUGUUUCAAGCCCAGCAUUUACAAAUCUGGGCUAACUGCCCUCUGGACUCUGAAGUAGUAGUUACUCUCAUUUUCCUUUUUACUCAUAGAGAUUUUCAUCAUUAAAUGCCUAAAUGCUUGUAUCAUCCAGCAAAUAUCCCCCUCCAAAUGAGAAAUAAUCUUGUAUUGUUCAAAGGAAAGAACAAUGUCUCUUUGUUCUUUGAAUAAGGGGGCCAAGGGUAACAAAGACUAUCUCGUUGACCAAGCUAGAGUCAGCCUCCUCUAAGUCCUCUUUUUGACUAGGCCACAGCUUUGAGCUCUGCUCUUGGCCCAUUUAGUCCAGUUUUAGAAAGAACCCUGCUGAAUCCAUUUAGCAAACAUCCUCCACUCUUGGUAUCUGAUCACUGUCCAUAUCUGACCAAAUGCCAAAUUGCUGACCCUCAACAUGUUGUCAUCAUGGCCUGCCUUCAGCAAGAAUCCUGGUGAGUUUUAGCCUUGAUGUGUUCUCUUAGGAAUUUACCAUCCACUGAUCCCAGCUCUGCUUCUUGGCUAUAAAUCUCCACUUGUCCUCACUGUAUUCAGGGUUGAGCUUGAUCUCUCUCCCCUACUGCAAAACCACAUUGCAGUUGUCUCUUCUGGAGUAGGCUUCCUUGUCAUCUUUAAGUGUAUGAGUUUUUUUCUUAAAAAAAAACAAUAGUUAGGGAGGACAGGUAGCAUUAGGAGAUAUACCUAAUGCUAAAUGACGAGUUAAUGGGUGCAACACACCAGCAUGGCACAUGUAUACAUAUGUAACUAACCUGCACAUUGUGCACAUGUACCCUAAAACUUGAAGUAUAAUAAUAAUAAAAAAAGGUUAUAAAAACAAAAUAAAAUUUGCAUUUAGUGUACACAGUCUGAUUGCCCUGAAAACUGUCUUUCCUAGUUUGUUCUCCAACCAACAUGUGCAAUGUGCCUGGGACCAUGCCCUCUUAUCAAGGGAAAGGCAGGAGAGAGCUGGCAUGAGGGCCAUUCAGGAUAUGAAAGUGGCUGGGUGUGGUGACUCACGCCUGUAAUCCCAGCACUUUGGGAGGCCGAGGCUGGUAGAUCAUGAGGUCAGGAGUUCAAGACCAGCCUGGCCAAGAUGGUGAAACCUGGUCUCUACAAAAAAUACAAAAAAAAAAUUAGUCUUGCGUGGUGGCGGGCAUCCCAGCUACUCGGGAGGCUGAGGCAGAGAAUUGCUUGAACCCGGG
rnacentral:lncRNA from 10 species